rfam:Flavobacterium psychrophilum JIP02/86 complete genome
AACGGGGAAAGCCGAAAACCGAAUAGAGUAAGCA